CCUACGGGAGGCAGCAGUGGGGAAUAUUGGGCAAUGGGCGCAAGCCUGACGCAGCAACGCCGCGUGAGGGAAGAAGGCUUUCGGGUUGUAAACUUCUUUUAUCAGGGACGAAGCAAGUGACGGUACCUUACGAAUAAGCCACGACUAACUACGGGACAGCAGCCGCGGUAAUACGUAGGUGGCAAGCGUUAUCCGGAUUUACUGGGUGUAAAGGGCGUGUAGGCGGGGAAGCAAGUCAGAUGUGAAAACCACGGGCUCAACCUGUGGACUGCAUUUGAAACUGUUCUUCUUGAGUGCUGGAGAGGUAAUCGGAAUUCCGUGUGUAGCGGUGAAAUGCGUAGAUAUACGGAGGAACACCAGUGGCGAAGGCGGAUUGCUGGACGGUAACUGACGCUGAGGCGCGAAAGCGUGGGGAGCAAACAGGAUUAGAUACCCCAGUAGUC
rnacentral:rRNA from 1 species